GUUAAAUACGGACUCCAACUUCAGUGACGACGGUACUGACUGUAGCGGACGCCUGAAUUCGCCCUUGGAUCCGACUUUGAUUCUGGCUCAGGACGGAACGCUGGCGGCGCGCCUAACACAUGCAAGUCGAACGGAGCUUAGAGAGCUUGCUUUUUAAGCUUAGUGGCCGAACGGGUGAGUAACGCGUGAGUAACCUGCCCUAGAGUGGGGGACAACAGUUGGAAACGACUGCUAAUACCGCAUAAGCCCACGGUACCGCAUGGCACUGAGGGAAAAGGAUUUAUUCGCUUUGGGAUGGACUCGCGUCCAAUUAGCUAGUUGGUGAGGUAACGGCCCACCAAGGCGACGAUUGGUAGCCGGACUGAGAGGUUGAACGGCCACAUUGGGACUGAGACACGGCCCAGACUCCUACGGGAGGCAGCAGUGGGGGAUAUUGCACAAUGGGGGAAACCCUGAUGCAGCGACGCCGCGUGGAGGAAGAAGGUUUUCGGAUUGUAAACUCCUGUCGUUAGGGACGAUAAUGACGGUACCUAACAAGAAAGCACCGGCUAACUACGUGCCAGCAGCCGCGGUAAAACGUAGGGUGCAAGCGUUGUCCGGAAUUACUGGGUGUAAAGGGAGCGCAGGCGGGAAGACAAGUUGGAAGUGAAAACCAUGGGCUCAACCCAUGAAUUGCUUUCAAAACUGUUUUUCUUGAGUAGUGCAGAGGUAGAUGGAAUUCCCGGUGUAGCGGUGGAAUGCGUAGAUAUCGGGAGGAACACCAGUGGCGAAGGCGGUCUACUGGGCACCAACUGACGCUGAGGCUCGAAAGCAUGGGUAGCAAACAGGAUUAGAUACCCUGGUAGUCCAUGCCGUAACGAUGAUUACUAGGUUGUUUGGGGGAUUGACCCCCCUCAGUG
rnacentral:rRNA from 1 species